UUUUCGUGAAACGCAUGGAGAACGGUUUAUUUCUCAAAAUGUGUAACGAACAACCGAUAUCUAGGGAAAAACGUUUUAUACAGUGACGCGAACGAACCUCUUUCAUGUCUUUUUACUUUGAGGGUCCGUUUUUUCUUCAACAACUCGGGUGAUUUCAAACUUUGAAGAGUAUGCAAUUCUGACAUAAAACUUCACCCUACUGACGGCCACAAUUAUCAGAGAACUGGUCGCAUCAGUCCGGAUAUAAAAUUUAUGAAGCACAACCCUAACCCUUGCAUCUUUGGAGGGUCUGUUACUCGCCACUCGCAGAGCAAGGCUUGCCUCACUCAUACCCAGGCAACACGCAAGUUUCAUUCCACACGUUCGUAGUUCCGUUGGCCAGUCGCAGACGAACCUCAGCGGGACGAGGAUCAUAUCCUUUCGGUUUAUCGGAUUUUUAGAAAGUAUCAUCUGCGGAAACAGAAAUGUCGAACAGCAGUAGGGCGAAAAGAAUACUGGAUCGUGAUAAGUUCAGCGAUCAGUUUGUUACUGCAAUUCGCGCCUUACGUUGCCUUAUGAUUUAUAUGGGAAUUUGGCCAGACAAAAAACAUGACAAAUUGUACUAUUUAUUGCGGUGCUUCCAUUCGGUAGGUUUAGUAUUUCUACUUUCGGGUGAAGUGUGUUGGCUCACCAAUGUUGAGGAUGAUAUGGAUGAAUUCUUCGCUACCUUAGGCGUGGCAUGUGCGUUAUUUUACGUUCUCGGAAAGUGGCUUACAUUUUCUUGGCAAAAAGUACUAAUCAGAAAACUGACGAAAUCUAUGGAUGAAGAUUGGAUCAACUUGGAAAACAACGCUUCGAUUCCUAAAAGCGUACCAGAUUCGAAACGAAUAAUGAUGAAACAUUACCGAACAUUAAAUAUUUACGUCUGCACCAUUGUACUUGUGUAUAUAUUUACAGCCGGGGAGUUCGUCAUUGAUUUUUUCGUAGCCACAAACCAUCGUGACAAUGAUACAAAUUUGGGUAACCUCUUACCAUUGACUCACAGCUGGUAUCCUCUCGAUUACGACCGAGGUUAUACCGUUCAGCUGCUGGCCGCUGCUCAAAUGAUAAGUAUGGUAUCAACAUUGGUCGGAAGCACUGUAGUUGACGGUUUCUUCGUUAUUACGGUUCUGCACACUGCCGGUCAACUGGAGAUUCUGGGAGAUUUUAUUGAACGAACCAAGUAUGAUCCAAUGGACUACGAAUGUGACGAGACGAAAGUCAAAGAGAUGGCGAAGCGUCACCAGGUGUUGUUAAGCGUGGCAGACGACAUACAAGAAUGUUUCAGUGCAACUAUCUUGCUGUGCGUGACUAUCUCGUUAAUCAGUACUUGUUUCCACGCGCACGCAUUUCUCAGGGAAUUAGAAAGAGGUGGAGAUAAUCAACUGAUUGCGCUAAAGUACGGAUUUUCCUGUCUGGUAGGGCUGAUGAAUAUUUUCAUCUACAGUUUUGUUGGCGACAGUUUGACUAGUCAACCGAUUUGGUUGCCGUCAUGAAUCAUCGCGGCAAUGAUACAGAUCAGAGUCGUACUUCGAUUGUUCCCUACAGCUGGUAUCAUCACAAUCGCGACCGCGGUUACACUAAUCAGUCGUACCGAAGGUCACCUUAGUAAAGUACCUCAACAUUGAAUGCCAGCCACCACUACUUUCCAAGCAAGUUAUCGGCGAGAGAAGUGAUACUAAUGGAUCCAUCCGAUCCCUAUCUAAACAGCCGCGGCUCGUAAACUAUACAGACCAAAGUUUAUUACAGCGAUGCCGAUAUAAUAUUCGUCAGAUGUUUAACACAACUUCGUUAUAACAGAACCGAACUUUUACACCCAUACUGAAAAAUGUUAGGUUGUACAGUGAGACAAUACGCUCCCGAUGGUAUAA
rnacentral:misc_RNA from 1 species